GCACUUCCCGCUUCUCUCUCUCUCUCUCUUUCCUGCUCCGCCGCGGUGAGACGUACUUGCUUCUCCUCACCUUCUACCGUGAUUCUGGACUAGACAGAAGACUACAGUUCAAUAAGAAGGAAACACAUUCAUUUUCAGUAUUGUUAAUAAAGAAGCUUACCUAAAAGAAGGAAAUCAAAACAAGAUAAUCUACACUGCAACUAGGGGAGGCUAUUGAAUGUGAUGGUCCCCUCAGAUGCCUAGAGGAAGAUGAACAAUGGUAAUCAGAUAUCCUAAAGUUAUCUUUAGGGCACUGGCAAAAUAGCAGCAAUGCCUGGUGGAAGCUGACUUUGUGCAUACACAUGAGAGCCCACAGAAAACUUCAAACUUCAUGGAAAUAAAACCUUCAGCUGCAGCUAAGAAUUUGGAGGUUACUGAAGGAGGUUACUUUUUCAAGAGCAGAAGUAAGGAUUCCACUGAAUUUGCUCACCAAAGAUAAGUCAGCAAAGAAAACUUACUGAAGAAUACAGGAACAUAAAUCUUAAGCAGGCUUACAUAAGGAAGGGAAGUGGUUGAAUCUGAGGUAAUUCCAUGGUGGACUUUGAAGAAAGCCUUCCAUGAGUUCCCAGUCCAUAUCCUCCAAAAGACAGCAUAUCAGCUCCUGCUUUCCAGACAAACUUCCUGGGUCUUGGGAAGAAGAAAGCCUCAGACUAAGAACUCUCUCUGGACUCAGACAGCCUGAAUUCAAAUCCCAUCUCUAUUCUUACUAGUCAUAUGAACACAGAUAGUGAAGAAUGAAAGAGAAGCAAAACAGAUCCUGCAGGUUGUGCUCACCACGGUGAAAAUCAUUAUUUGCAACUCCCACAGGAGAACCAUAUCCAUUCAGCUCACUUUGGACCACCUGUGGAGCCUGAUAACCAGGGAACAGAGAACCUGUUGAGAUCCAAAUUUGUGUGCCAGAUCACAAACUCAUCUGAAGCAGAUGCCACGUGUUACACUGUUAUGUCUCUCAGAGACUCCAGCACUUUGAAAGUAUUAGGCCUUGCUUAUUGAGAUGAAUAUUUUUUUCUAGGCAUGUCCCAAAGUUCUCAGCAUAGCUACAACCCUGAUUUUCACAGGAUUUUCAUUAAAAUUAGGUUCUAGAGCAUUACUUCCCUAAUGUGCAAUGCAACUUACGUUUAGUUUUCAAAUCAAAAUUAGUUUUGUUUUUCCACUGUCUUUGUCUUUGAAAAUAUUGAACUUGGGAUUUCCAAAAUUAUAAUUAGCAAUUAUUUUUACAUAUCUUUUAUAUACAUAACUUUUACAAUGGCUGCCAUUAUCAUGUAGGUUCUUAGGAAGUGUUUCUGAUCCUUGUAAAUAAAAGUGAAAGAAGAAAUCUUUACUGCUUGCUGACCCAUGUGACUAACCUUGAAAUCAGAGAGGCAGAUUCAUUUAAAACAAACUUGCAAACUGUUAAGCAAAGUACUGAAUCUCUGUGACUUGACCAAAAGUAAUUCAGACUUGACUAUUCCAGGCUCCCUUCUAUCUCUGUAGCAACCCAUGCAUCAUAGACUCCAGUUGCAAUGGAUGGUCAAGGAAUCUGCUGUGCCUUUUGAGUCUCUCCAUUUUAUAUUGCCAAAUUUAUCUUCCUUUAAUACUUCACUUCACAUAAGACACUAAGAUAAACAAGGAUGCAACUCACUUAUAUUUCAAAAUAGUACCUAGUGGUUAAAAGUACUUGUUCUGAAAGCAACUCUAUUUUUCUAGUUCUAACAUGUCUCCAACUAGUUAUCUCACCUUGAGCUUGGCACAUAAUCACUCCAUCUUACUUUUGCAUCUGUGACACAAGAAAAAUACCACCCACCUCAACAUAGAUCUUAUGAAGAUUAAAAUAAGAUUAUGAAAGUAAAAUGCUCAGCACAAUGUCUAAACGAAAAUAAAUGCUCAGCAAGUAGGAGCUACUAUAAUUAUUAUCCAGAUCAAAUAUUUUCUCCUCUAUGAAGCUUUCUUAUUCUUCCCCAGCUGGAAUUACUUAUUUUCUUCCUUGCUUUCUACACCACACUUUAGUCACCACCAUGCUGGCACUUGUCUCACCGCAUUAUAAUUAUUUAUGUGCCUGUGUUCCAUAACCAGAAUAUGGGACUUAAGCUUCUUUAUACCUCCAGCAUAAUUGUUUCAUGUGUGCUUUUAGGUAAUGGAGUAAAAUGGAUGAAUGAGUGAAUGCGACUAUAGUACUAAAUGCUCUUAGAUAAAGAUGUAAUUAUUCUUAAGUGAUAAAAUUAUUCGAACAUGAGUAGUUCAGAUAAUGAGAGACUGUCAUAGAAUUACUUGAUAAAAUCUAGUCAAUAAAAUGGCUUGGCAAUAUAACCUUUAUGAUUUCUUUAAACAAUCAUUCAUUUCUUUCUGAAGAUGAGAAGAGGAGAUUCCUUCUCCCAUCUUUAUAUUUCAACAAUGAUUAGAAAACAAAUUGAUCUCUGGGAUCAGUGCCCAAUACCAUUAAAGUGGUAUACAUCUUACAAUUCUUAAUUAAUUUGUGGCAUACAUAUACCAGUCUCCACAGCCAGCUUCAUCUGCAUACAGCAGCAUAAUCACUUUUUUCCUUAUAGUAAAGACAUAUUAUGAGUCAUCAAAGUCUUCUCCGGGGGUUGUGGUUAUCAUCUGGUAAUCACACCCUUGGGAGGUUAAAAACACUUAUCUUUGGAUCAUGACUUGCAAUGCCCCAGGGGUGUGAUUAUCUCAGGCAACUCACACUUUCUGUCAUGCCUAAUUGCUUAAUUAUUAUAGCUGCAAGUUCACACCACCAUACAGGAACUCAUGUUGUGUCAGCAUUUCCACUAUAAAUUCCUUUUUCAAGAGUCUAUAACUCAGCCAUAAAAAAAAAAAAAAAAAAAACCUAUGGUCCAUUGAAGCACUGCAGUAAGAGUCUUAUUCCAGGAAACAUUUCUGUAAUAGGUUAAUUGUAUCUUAAAAAUUGGGUCCUGAUUCUCAUAGUUAGUUCACCAAAGAAAUAAAUGCUAAUUAAAUGUCUCUAAAUUAUAUAUUUUUCUGUAUGGCUGGGUAAAUAAUGUAAAUCCUAAAGACAUAAAUAUUAUUUUUUAAAUAUAACAAGAAUGGCUCAUACAAUUUCCAGUUUUUUGGAAAUACACUUACACAUAUUUAUAAAAUAUUAUAUAAGUAGAAUGAGCUAAACCAUAGUUAGAGAACAUUGUCAUAUGCAAUCAUGUACUACAUAAUAUUUCAGUCAGUGGACAGCAUGUGGCAGUGGUCACAUAAGAUUAUAACGCAGCUGAAAAAUUCCUGUUGUCUAAUGACAUCAUGGCUGUCAUAACUGUCAUGGCCGUCAUGGCCAUCUGAACAUUGUAGUACAAUGUAUUCCUCAUGUGUUUGUGGUGAUGCUGAUGUAAACAAGCAUCUGCACUGCCAGUUGUAUAAAAGUGUAGCACAUACAAUUAUGUACAUACAAUUAUGCACACACAAUUAUGUACAACACAUAAUAUUUUAUAAUGACAAUAAACAAUUUUGUUACCGGUUUAUGUAUUCACUGUACUAUACCUUUCAUCAUUAUUUUAGAGUGUACUCUUUCUACUUAUAUAUAAAAAAAAGUUAAUUGUAAAACAGCCUCUAGCAGGUCCUUCAGGACAUAUUCCAGAAGAAGGCAUUGUUAUCAUAGGAGAUGACGGUUCCAUGCGUGUUAUUGCCCCUGAAGACCUUCCAGUGGGUCAAGAUAUGGAGGUGAAAGACAGUGAUAUUGAUGAUCCUGACCCUGCGUAGGCCAAGUUUUCUUGACUUCACUUAAUCUGCUGGAAGCUGAUCCUUUUCAUGUCCAUGUUUAAGGAAGCGUUGAAGGUCACGUCACUCAAAGCCAACAUCAGCAGGCAUCCUACCAAGAUAAUCUCUGAAGAGGUCAGAGGCACAAUUAUUACAAUUUAUUGUGGACAGGAAAACACAUGGAUGUUGAAUACCAGUUCCUGUGAAAGAUACUUGGGUUUCGGGAUAACAACAGUCCCAAGUCUUCAGAACAAAUCAACAGAAUUCAAUCAAGUAUUUCCUUGCACUUACUUGUUAUGACUUCUUAGUCUCUCCAGUCUGUGACAGUUACUCAUUUUCUCCCUGAUACAAGGACUACAACACUUUGGAAGGUGCUUGUCAGAAAUUUAUUCUCCUUAUAUACAUUCCUACACACAUGUGGAUGCUUUUAUUGAAACCAGUUCAUAGGUAUGUUUGUAUAAUCUUUAUACACAUAAAAUAUAUUUUUUUC
rnacentral:lncRNA from 1 species